rnacentral:lncRNA from 1 species
AAAAAUACUCCAAAAAACUUCUUAAGUAGUACUUCAAAGUAUUUCUACUUAAGUACUUUACGCACUUUACUUUACGACACUGUGAAUGAUGCUGUUAUAACCCGUGUCUUUCACUCUGUCUCUGUAUUCGUCAGUGUCUCUGCGUAAGGCUAUAUCCCCCCAGAACCUGAGCCAGAUAGAGACACCCUGGGAAGGGGUCACACUUAACCGCUGUCUGAUCAUAGCUAUUACAAUCCUGCUGCUCAGCUCCGGCUUUCAGAAACUUCAUGAAACCAUUAAAGGUCGACGGGCUGUGGAGGAAGAGGAGUAUGCUGAUGCGCUGACUGUGAGGCACUCCGCAUUGAGACACAACGUCCAACCACAGGAGGUAGUGGCACAGAAACAAAAUACUCUCCUGUCUCUCCGGGCUCAGAAUCCCCAUUCCCAACAUGGUAUGAAUUACAGGAGAUUUGCUGCAAAGUGCCACUCCUAAAGGCCUGCAGUGUGUUUUCAUCUGCACUUUGCAGCUACCGCUGUCACUGACGGUUAGCUGGAGCAUCCAUUCAAAUGGCUGGCUUCUCAAGGACGUUUAGGUGACACCGGGUGUGUAUGGAAUCAUACUUCUAUAAUAUUUAGUAGGUAUGAGUAUAUGUGAACAUUUAUUAGGUACACAUAUGGGGUAGUAUGCUGAUUAUGCUUGAAAGACUAGGAUGGCAUAUGACAUUCAGUGAAAUAAUGUGUAUGUGACCUCUACAUUCCUCAAAAACAUUUUUAUUAUACCCCUGAAUCAGAGGAGGCUGGA